rnacentral:rRNA from 1 species
CCGGUAAACGGCGGCCGUAACUAUAACGGUCCUAAGGUAGCGAAAUUCCUUGUCGGGUAAGUUCCGACCUGCACGAAUGGCGUAAUGAUGGCCAGGCUGUCUCCACCCGAGACUCAGUGAAAUUGAACUCGCUGUGAAGAUGCAGUGUACCCGCGGCAAGACGGAAAGACCCCGUGAACCUUUACUAUAGCUUGACACUGAACAUUGAGCCUUGAUGUGUAGGAUAGGUGGGAGGCUUAGAAGUGUGGACGCCAGUCUGCAUGGAGCCGACCUUGAAAUACCACCCUUUAAUGUUUGAUGUUCUAACGUUGACCCGUAAUCCGGGUUGCGGACAGUGUCUGGUGGGUAGUUUGACUGGGGCGGUCUCCUCCUAAAGAGUAACGGAGGAGCACGAAGGUUGGCUAAUCCUGGUCGGACAUCAGGAGGUUAGUGCAAUGGCAUAAGCCAGCUUGACUGCGAGCGUGACGGCGCGAGCAGGUGCGAAAGCAGGUCAUAGUGAUCCGGUGGUUCUGAAUGGAAGGGCCAUCGCUCAACGGAUAAAAGGUACUCCGGGGAUAACAGGCUGAUACCGCCCAAGAGUUCAUAUCGACGGCGGUGUUUGGCACCUCGAUGUCGGCUCAUCACAUCCUGGGGCUGAAGUAGGUCCCAAGGGUAUGGCUGUUCGCCAUUUAAAGUGGUACGCGAGCUGGGUUUAGAACGUCGUGAGACAGUUCGGUCCCUAUCUGCCGUGGGCGCUGGAGAACUGAGGGGGGCUGCUCCUAGUACGAGAGGACCGGAGUGGACGCAUCACUGGUGUUCGGGUUGUCAUGCCAAUGGCACUGCCCGGUAGCUAAAUGCGGAAGAGAUAAGUGCUGAAAGCAUCUAAGCACGAAACUUGCCCCGAGAUGAGUUCUCCCUGACUCCUUGAG